CCCCUACCGAUCUAGGGUUAGCGCGGUGCUCACAGGAAGCUCCACCACCGCCGCCGUCCACUCUCUGUCCACGUCGUCACCGGCCCCUACUUCACCAUGGCCGGCGCUGGAUCGAGCUCGUCUGGACAGGCAGAAGGUAGCUUCACCGGAAUGAUCUAACCUAUCCGAUCCAAAGCAAUCUAUCAGAAUGCUCCCCAGGCGAUCUGCGGGUACGACGCGAUCAGCUCGCCCUCCGUCGGGAAGGGGGCGACGGGCCCGGACCUGAAGAUUGGCGCACGGGCAUAGAGGGAGGAGGCCAUGUACGUGUACGAUGGUUGGUUGAGGUAAUGAGGUGGAUGUGGGUGACGGGGAGGAACCCGGGGACGAGGAGGAGGUCUAGGAGCUUGGUGACGGGGAGGAGCCUGGGGACGAGGUCUAGGAGCCGGCGGCGGCGGCGGGGGCGGAAACGCUCCUGGGGGCGCGGGGGCAGGCUCCUAGCCGUCGGAGUCGGAGUUGGAGGAGGACGCCAUGGGCGGGCGGAGGAGGUCGAUCGGCGGCGAGGAGUUCUUGCGGAGAGAAAGGGAGAAGAAAAGCCGUUGAGUUUGUUUGUUACGCCUCGGCUCGGGGAGGCGGGAGGGAUGCCGCGUCCGCGCGUAUACGAAAGGAGAGAGCCAGCCAGCAACCGUCGGCCUCUCUGCUCUUCUCGGCGUCGCCGGCAAGCGUCGUGGGGCGGGCCGACUUGAUGGGCUGCGCCACCGGUCCCAGUCCUCUUUCGGCCCGCGUCCGGCUCACCUCAGGCUCACACUCACACCUGUGCGAGCAAAGCAAAGCUACACCCGCUGCGAGCUCCCGCGGCAGCAGAGUCGGCCGGCGCCGCCCUCCGCGCGCGCAGCCAGGGAGACUCAGGCGAACAACGAAAGGGAGGGGCGGCGUCGGAGUCGGGGUGGAAGCGCGGAGCAUGGCGAGGCCGCUCGGCUUCGUCGCUGCUGCAAGGUUCGGACCGUCGGCGGCAGUCAGUCGCGGCGCCCCGAACGCCGCCUGUUCGACGAAAUGGGUCAACCACCUGCCUUUUCUGCUACAGGCUUUUGAAGAAUCGUGCUCUCUUCUUGUGCCAGUUUCGCUCAACUGCUUGCCAAUAUCAGCGUUACAUUCUGCAUCUGAAGAAUGCAGUUUCUAUGGCAUCUAGACUCGUGCACACUUCAGAGUAUUCAGUUCAGGCUUUCUGAAUAAUUCUAUAGCUCAGCACUUGCUUACUGAUCGUCCCAGAUUCACAAAGCCCUUUUAUCUGGUGCCUGGGGUCUGAUACUGGAAGCUCCCACAUCUUAGCCAUGCUUCCGCUCUCACCCUCGCCAGCCAUCUCCAGGAAUGAAGAGGCUUCAAAUAUGAAAUAUGUACUGCUGACAACAGAGAAUGCUUCAAAUAUGAAGUGAUCUAUUCUAGCUAAGAAGCUGCCAACAGUUGUUUAUGUUCCACUGAUUUGGCAGAUCAGAUGAAGAUCAACCCCCACCGUUGUCCUCUCAAGACCCCCUGCCCAACAAACAUACGAGUCUGAUGGCCGGAAUGAAGAUGCCGACACCAAACAGGCAAGAAGCUCAUGUCAAUAUAAGCAUCGGAGCAGCAGAACCCACUGGCUGCAUAUUUUCUGCAUCCCUGCAAUCUAGCAUUCCACAGACGACUGAGCCAGUGAGACACCACAAGGUAACCUGAAGCAUAGCAAGGCAGCAGAAGCCAAUUGAGCUAGGUGAACAUGGCAUUCUGGACUUGCAGAAAAUAAAUAGGAUGGGCACUUCGGCUGUGGUGGUCGUGGCUGCUGGGCACAUCGCCGUCAUGAUUGUGGCAAGAAUUCAGACAGCCCUGCACCAACACUGUACAUGCCAUGUUCCAAGCCUCCACCUAUGUAACACCCGCUUCUGGACUGACUGCCGGAUGGAUGAUCGCUCACCAGCAAAUGUUGUGCCAACCGGACUGUCGGACUGUACAGUACAGCCCCAUCUCUGUUGCCAACUCCGGACUGUCGGACUGUACUGUACGCGUUGACCUUCACAACAACAGGUGGAUCCAGUAUAUUGUUGGCGCACUCUCGGCUCGGGCAAUGACCGCAUUCCUGCAACUGGCAGAAUCAAUUUCCACAUUUUCAGGUUCAGAAAGGAGGAAGGCACUUCUCUGGAGUUGAUCUGAAUCAGGGAAAUACAUCACCAAAUUUGCUUACUGGGCGUUCUUCAAUGGCACUGUCGAGUUCCCAUUCUAGUAAGAAUGGAAUGAUCCUUCAAAAAUCAUAUCUUAAAAGAAUGAUAAAUCAUUCUAGAGCGGGCUGCUGCAACUCCUUGGGAGAGGCAUAUCACAUCUUUGAAGCGUCUGGAUACAUAUUCAGAUUAAAUCCAUGUGCAGGAGUACGGAACAUGUCGACGUCAUAAUUGAUGGGAGCUCAUUAUGUUCUUGCUCUUUAUACCUUGGCGAUAAUUGGAUAUGGCUCCUUACCUGAUCGAUGUUCUGUCAAAUUUAGUUUGAAAAUGUAUGCACUAUUUUUCAUAUUUUUGGAUAAGAG